rnacentral:rRNA from 1 species
AACGAACGCUGGCGGCAGGCCUAACACAUGCAAGUCGAGCGCCCCAGCAAUGGGGAGCGGCAGACGGGUGAGUAACGCGUGGGUAUCUACCUAGUGGUGCGGAAUAGCCCAGGGAAACUUGGAGUAAUACCGCAUAAGCCCGAAAGGGGAAAGAUUUAUCGCCAUUAGAUGAGCCCGCGUUGGAUUAGCUAGUUGGUGGGGUAACGGCCCACCAAGGCGACGAUCCAUAGCUGGUCUGAGAGGAUGAUCAGCCACACUGGGACUGAGACACGGCCCAGACUCCUACGGGAGGCAGCAGUGGGGAAUAUUGGACAAUGGGCGCAAGCCUGAUCCAGCCAAUGCCGCGUGAGUGACGAAGGUCUUCGGAUUGUAAAGCUCUUUUGGCGGGGACGAUAAUGACGGUACCCGCAGAAUAAGCCCCGGCUAACUCGUGCCAGCAGCCGCGGU